rnacentral:rRNA from 1 species
CCUACGGGUGGCUGCAGUGAGGAAUAUUGGUCAAUGGGCGUAAGCCUGAACCAGCCAAGUCGCGUGAGGGAUGAAGGUUCUAUGGAUCGUAAACAUAUGUUAUAAGGGAAUAAAGUGUGGGACGUGUCCUAUUUUGUAUGUACCUUAUGAAUAAGGAUCGGCUAACGCCGUGCCAGCAGCCGCGGUAAUACGGAGGAUCCGAGCGUUAUCCGGAUUUAUGGGGUUUAAAGGGUGCGUAGGCGGCCUUUUACGUCAGCGGUGAAAGUCUGUGGCUCAACCAUAGAAGUGCCGUUGAAACUGGGGGGCUUGAGUAUGUUUGAGGCAGGCGGAAUGCGUGGUGUCGCGGUGAAAUGCUUAGAUAUCACGCAGAACCCCGAUUGCGAAGGCAGCCUGCCAAGCCAUGACUGACGCUGAUGCACGAAAGCGUGGGGAUCAAACAGGAUUAGAUACCCGUGUAGUC